rnacentral:rRNA from 1 species
CACGUAGGGUGCGAGCGUUGUCCGGAAUUAUUGGGCGUAAAGAGCUCGUAGGCGGUGUGUCGCGUCGGCCGUGAAAACCUGCAGCUUAACUGUGGGCUUGCGGUCGAUACGGGCAUCACUGGAGUUCGGCAGGGGAGACUGGAAUUCCUGGUGUAGCGGUGAAAUGCGCAGAUAUCUGGAGGAACACCGGUGGCGAAGGCGGGUCUCUGGGCCGAUACUGACGCUGAGGAGCGAAAGCGUGGGGAGCGAACAGG